rnacentral:rRNA from 1 species
AGAUUGAACGCUGGCGGCAUGCUUUACACAUGCAAGUCGAACGGCAGCACGGGGGCAACCCUGGUGGCGAGUGGCGAACGGGUGAGUAAUAUAUCGGAACGUACCCGGAAAUGGGGGAUAACGUAGCGAAAGUUACGCUAAUACCGCAUAUGCCCUGAGGGGGAAAGCGGGGGAUUCGUAAGAGCCUCGCGUUUUCGGAGCGGCCGAUAUCGGAUUAGCUAGUAGGUGAGGUAAAGGCUCACCUAGGCGACGAUCCGUAGCUGGUCUGAGAGGACGACCAGCCACACUGGAACUGAGACACGGUCCAGACUCCUACGGGAGCAGCAGUGGGAAUUUGGACAAUGGCGCAAGCCUGAUCCAGCCAUGCCGCGUGAGUGAAGAAGGCCUUCGGUGUAAGCUCUUUCAGCCGGAAAGAAACGCGACGGUUAAUACCCUGUGUGAUGACGGUAACCGGAAGAAAGAAGGACACCGGACCUAACGUAACCGUAGCCAGCAAGCCGC